GUUGUUACAAAAGUUAAAUUUUAAAAUCUUAACCUCAUACUUAUAUAGCUAAACUCUGAAUCCAUACUCCAAAUUUCAAACCAUAUAUAAUAAACAUAACCUUUAAACUUUAAAUUUUAAUAUUUUAGUUCACAUUUAAUCAUAUACUUCAUUCUAAAUCUUAACCCUAAACCAUAAACCAAAUACCUCAUAUUAACAUAUAUCAUAAUACAUUAAAUCUUAAUUUUUAAAUAAAUUAUAUUCAUACAAGAAAAACAUACUACUCCAAACUAACAACAUUUCACAUUAUACAUUUACAAAAUAAAAUUAAACCACCAAAUAAUAAACCAAAAAAUACAAUCUAAUCUUUUCAGUCAAAACCUAAACCAUAUAUAUAUAUAUAUCAUACCCCAACCAAAUACCUCAACAUAUAAUAUUAAUUAAUAAAUUUUUAGAACUAAACCGUAAAAUAUUGAUUAUAAAAUCUUCGUUUUAUUCAAACAUCAAUUUUAAAAAGUUAUAAACCAAAAGUCAUCAAAAUGUUGAAAAUAGAACAACAAAAGAUAAAAACAAAGAGGAAUUCUAUUGGAUAACUAAUAAAUAAAAAGGAAAAUUACAGGCCAAUCCGCUCUCAUCACGCGGAUCACUCUCUGAGCCGUAGGAUACAAAUAGAUCAAUGGAUGAGAUUUUCUUAUUUUCUUUUUUCUUUUUCUUUUUUCUCUAUCUCUCUUUCUCGCUCUUAUCUUCACAGAUCUUUUUUUAGAUCUCUCCACCUUCGACAAAUCUCUUUUAUUUUACAGAUCUCUUUUUCUUAAUCAUCUCAUACACACACAUCACUGUCUUACUCUCCUAACCUCACUCACACACGAUUCAUCUCACAGACAUCUCUCUGUUUCACUCUCAUAAUCUCUCUGUCUCACGCACGACACAUCCCCAACCAUCUUCUUCAGAAAGCGACGGUGGAGGCGCCAAAGCAAUGGUGGAAGCUGCGGCAGACUCGUCUCUGGUCAAGCACUGCGUUGGCUUCACCUCCUCACCACCACCGCAGAUUUAUUAAGGAGCAAGGGAAGGAGAAGCAGUGGUGUGACAUAGCGGCGUUUCCGGAUCAAGCGUGGUGCGUCGGUGAGGUGGUGGUCGUGCGGUGGAGAUGCGAGCAUCAUGGUCGGCGGAGACUGAAGAAGAAUGUAGUUUGGUGGCCGUAUUAGGUUUAGUUAGGGUUAAUUAGUUAACCAAUUUGUAAUUCUAAACCAAUUUGUAAUUGUACCAUUUUGUAAUUGUAAACCAUGUAAACCAAAAUUCAAUUUAUGAAAAUACCAAUUUAUUGUUACAAAAAAACAAUUUAUUAUUUUUCAUUAACUAAACCGAUUUAAUUAUAAAUUAAUCUAUAAUGUGUUUUUAUAAAAAGAAAUUAAAUGUAUAUUCUGGAUAAUUUUUUUAUAAAUAAAUAUAUAUAUAUUCAGUGGCACUGAAAAUGUGUUAUUAAAAAUAAUGUUGCAACAUGACCAAAAUGCCAUAGAAAUCUACGUAAUAGCAAGAAAAAUGUGUUAUAAAAUAUGUUAUUAUAGGAAGAAAUUAACGUUACAACAUCUCUAUUAUUUAUAGCACACGGAAAACGUUACGAUAGAUGGGGGUCUAUUAUAGCUGCGGCUGUCACGGCGUUCUUCGAAACGCUACGAAAACGAUAUGAUAGCGUUUUUCGGGUGCUACUAAUGCCGAUUUUUCUUGUAGUGCAUGGCGGAGGAGAAGUCGAUCAAAAUCAAUGGGAGUGGUGAAGAAGGGGAAAACAUCGUAGAAAAAAAAAAGGAUAUGGAAAGACUUUAUUUUCUUUUUGUCAGAUCUGGAGUGAGUUGAUAUGUUUCGUUAAUGAGAGGAUAGAUAAAUGAAAAAGAGAGAGAACAAAUUGUGGCCUUUAGAUUAUAUUUCAUCAA